CAUUUCUUUUCCAUCGAGACGUUGGCCGAGAAGGUUACUCUAGUCAUCAUUGCUGGGUGCUUUCUUUCCUGACUUAGUUCUUUCAUAAAUAAAGGUUGGUGGAGAUAUUUCUCAACAUGCAGUGCCAAGUCAACAAGAUGCCUCUGAUGUAUCAUGUUGCAAGAUGAAAAUGGAGGAAAAAGAAAAUCUGAAACGAUUCCUUGGUAAAUUUGGUGGUGAUGUCUGGUGUGCAGUGGUGUGUCAGUCAUUUUCUGAUUGAGAAAUGCACUUAUAUGGAGCAUCUGCAGAUUUGCUGUUCAACAUCAGACUUCAAAAAACCAUGUUGGUGUCGAUGCAGUGUUGAGCUGUUAAAAAGUAGUUGGUGUUUGAUGGCUUUCUGGCAUUUUGUUGGUGUGUUCUACUUCUGCUAGCUGUAUCCAUGUUGAGUUCAAUCGGACGUCGCCGUAUCAGACUUGAUCCGCUGGUGAAGCUGAGGAGAAGUUGUUGUUAUUCAAGACUGAUAGAUUAUUCAGACAAAUUAAAAAUGCAAAACUUUUGUCCCUUUUCCCUAAGUAAACAAAAUGUCCUCAGUUGGCUAGUUGUGUGAAAACCAAAAAUGUUAUGAUGGAAUGAGCAAUGAAAUUUGAUAUUUUCUAUGAGAAAGAAAAGUUAAACCAUUAA